UACGAAGGGGGCGAGCGUUGUUCGGAAUUACUGGGCGUAAAGCGUGCGCAGGCGGUGAUGUAAGACAGAUGUGAAAUCCCCGGGCUCAACCUGGGAACUGCAUUUGUGACUGCAUCGCUGGAGUGCGGCAGAGGGGGAUGGAAUUCCGCGUGUAGCAGUGAAAUGCGUAGAUAUGCGGAGGAACACCGAUGGCGAAGGCAAUCCCCUGGGCCUGCACUGACGCUCAUGCACGAAAGCGUGGGGAGCAAACAGG
rnacentral:rRNA from 1 species